rnacentral:lncRNA from 1 species
GUUCAAUAAUUAAACUGUAUGUUGGUUAAACCAAAUAUAUAUGUUUAUAUUUAUAUAGAUAUGUGAAACUAAUACUUAAUUUCACCCACAUUUAUACCUGAUUGUCAAUGCACAGAUACAAAUCAACCACAUAUAUGCCCCUUCAUUCUGUACCAACACUGUGUAGUUAAAUUUCUUCAAUACCGAUUCCUACAAUUCAUGAAGUAAUCCAGCAAUACCAAUUCCUGCAAUUCAUGAAUCAAAGGGCAUAAUAUGUGUUUGAUUCUAUAAAUUAAGUGUAAUUUUUUAAAUAAAAAAUAUGAUAAAUACAAUUAAGUUAAAAAAAAAUGAUAUACUGUGAAGACAAGUCCAAAUAAUAUGAUAUCACUUUAUUAUUUUUGGUUCGUUAAUAUAUAAUAUAAGAUCGAUUUAAACAAUAUAUCUUUAGAAUUGCUGAUACAUUUUGUAACCAAAAAUAAUAAAGACACAUUGAUUUGUAUAUUAUUCGGAUUUUUCUCCAUAAUAUAUCAUAUUUUGUUUAACUUAAUUGCAUUCAUCAUAUUUUUUAUUUACAAAAUUAUAUUUAUUUCUCACGGGGUGGUUAGUGUAAUGAAAAUAUAAAAAUUAGAUGGCUUGUGUAGGUGUAGAAAAGUGAGGGAUGAUUUAUGUAAUUUUACUAAAACUCAGGGAGUGUAGUGUAAUUAACUCUAAUAAUAAUAAUAAUAAUAAUAAUAAUAAUAAUAAUAAUAAUACACCAAUUCAUGAAGUAAUUCAGCAACAGUGAAAAUUAGAUAAACAAUUACUACAAUACCAAUUGUUGCAAUAUCUAUUCCUGCAAUACUUAAUACUCAAUUAGAUUAACAAUUCCUCUCCAAUUUCAUGAAAACAUGGAUUACCAAUUUUUAGGUACAUUUAAUCCAGCAAAACUGAAAAUUGGAGCAAUAUUGAGAUUCUUCUCUAAACUCUUAAAUCUAAUUUUAAAAGCACGGUAUAGACAGGAUAAAAGAGGCUAAAGUAAUUCCUCUGUAAACUUUAAAUCUAUUUCCUCUGUAAACUCUUCCAUUGAUGCACAUAGAAAAGGCUAAACUAGCAAGUAAGUUAAUUGAACAAUAGAAGAACGAAGUAAAGAAGAAGCACUUUACAACAUCAAUUAAAAAUCAUAACCUUGUGAGAUGAUAUAAGUUGAGAGAUGUGACAGAGAUGAUGUGCAACUCUACAAGGAAUAGACUGGAAGGGAGAUGAUGCGCCAGUGGAAGGGAGUGGACGGAGAUGGUGGCGUGCUGAUGGAUGCGUGGAACUGGAGAAUAAGUGAAGAAGGGUUGAACCGUUGAUGAGGUGGAGAAAAAUUGAAGAAGGGUUGAAGAGGUUUGAAGUGUGUGGGAAGUGGGUUGAAGGGUUGAAGAAGGUUGAAGGGGUGAACUUAUUUUUGUACGCGUGAAGGUUUGAACCGUUUUUUUUUAUUAUCU